ACGAACGCUGGCGGCGUGCUUAACACAUGCAAAGUCGAACGAGAGGACAUGGGAGCUUGCUCCUAUGGAAUCGAGUGGCAAACGGGGUGAGUAACGCGUAAACAACCCUGCCCUUCGGAUGGGGAUAACAGCCGGAAACGGCUGCUAAUACCGAAUACGAUCUUUUCGUCGCAUGACGAAAAAAGAAGAAAAGGAUGGCCUCUAUACAAAGCUAUCGCCGAAGGAGGGGUUUUGCGUCUGAUUAGCUGGUUGGAGGGGUAACGGCCCAACAAGGCGAUGAUCAGUAGCCGGUCUGAGAGGAUGAACGGCCACAUUGGGACUGAGACACGGCCCAGACUCCUACGGGAGGCAGCAGUGGGGAAUCUUCCGCAAUGGACGAAAGUCUGACGGAGCAACGCCGCGUGAGUGAAGAAGGUCUUCGGAUUGUAAAGCUCUGUUAUACGGGACGAAAAAGACGGAUGCCAACAGUAUCCGUCCGUGACGGUACCGUAAGAGAAAGCCACGGCUAACUACGUGCCAGCAGCCGCGGUAAAU
rnacentral:rRNA from 1 species